ACAUGACAAAAGAUAUAAAAUACGUAUAACUAAAAUGACCACCAUUCAACAAGUUGUCGCUCUUAAAUCCCCACGUCACAUUGUAACAUUUUACCUAAAAAUAUCACCGAUAAACGUUGGGGGAAUGUCUAAUGGAAUCAAACACUCGAAUGCAUCUAAAACACAAAAAAAAAUUAAGCCAAGGAAGAUUCACGUUGCGCAUAGGAAAAAAACUUUGCUUCUCGGCUAUACAAUGAGGUGAUGAUUUGACAAAGAGAACCUUGUUAGAUUCUACAACGCACAGCAAGGAAUGAAGUGUUUCGAUUCUUCCCUAUUUCUUUACCGUGGAUUGGAUCAUAACAUAUAUCGGGAUACACCCUUGUUGAGGGCGUAUGAUCAAGUGAAUCAGUGAAAACCAAGUCUUUUUUUUUUUGGAAAGAAGAUAUUUUCGGAUACAUUUCAUUGCACUGAU